UACAUUUCCUUACUCAGCUUUUCUUCCAGUUGAGGUGUAAAAAAGAAGCUGGUGAUGUGUACUAUGUGGUAGAGAAAAAAAGAUUCCAUUUUUUGUGUGUGUGUGUAUGUGUUGUCAUGCUGAUAAAAUCACUGCCAAAGUCUCACUGAAAUCAACUGACUGGACUGAAAGGCAACUGGCUACGUGGUCAUUUAGUGCAUGAAAUCUUAAAAACCAAUGAUGUUGGUACACAGAAGGAUAAAGGGUACUUACACACAGAGGAUAACUCCACAAGCAAACGACAAGGAACAUGAAGUGAGAGCCUAAAUCUCACACAGAGAUUUCAGUGUGAAAAAUGGAGCUGCAGAGGAUUUGGGAGAACCAACCAAAAGACAAAGACCACUUGGACAGCUCACUUAAUGAAUCCCAUUUUGUGCGGACAGCUGUGUUUGAGAGUCUGCCAGCCUCUCAAAUGCUGGGGCCCAUGUAUGAUGACCCAGGAACCUUGCAGAGUGUCAGACUCUGACGUCAUUCCUGAACUACAGACUCAUCCUCUGGACCACCCUUCAUUUCUAUUUGUACAGAACCUAGCACUAAAAGGACUUACUUUUCCUGUAGCCCUCAAGCCAUAUAAAUACAUGUAAACAGUAAUAACUGUCCACCAAUGCACUUCAAAGAGGACCGCAGAGAUCAGCAGAGGUCAGGUCCUCUUUAAUUCCAUGAAAACACUGGUAAUGACCUUGAAAAUUAGUAAUGGUGGAAAAUGAUAGAUAUUUAUUCCUGAGAACAAGCUUGCUGUUUCCAAAGAAGAAAUCAACCCAUACUUUGUGAGAGAAAUGCACCACCUCUCUAAAUUUAGAUUUGAAAGUGGCAGCCUCUCUACUCAUGAAAGUGUGCAUUCACCACUAAGGUACACAGUGGCCAGCUGAAAAUCUACAUGCCAUUUAGUUGGUAUUCAAUUUACCUCUCUCUUGCAGGUCUCUUGGAAUUAACAUUCAGUAAAUUUUAAGGGGAGAUGUGGUAAGGACAGGCUGAGGAUCUGUAAGUUCUGUAAACUCUGCCUGUCCUUUGUCUGAAUAAAUUAGGACUAUUUAAAAAGCUAGUAUUUA